CGGCAGCCACGUAGCCACGCAGCCACGCAGCUGCUCCGUGGCCAGCCGGAAGAAGGGUUGCAGAAAACCCAGAGCUGCCAGAGGUAUUUCCAGGGGACUUUGAUCACUCGAUGCUGUAAUCUCUGAAGGGAAACAUACUUCACUUAGAAGCCUUCCCAGGCCCCGUCCCAGAAGUCACCUCGCUGUGUGGGAUCAGUCCCCUCCAGAUGCGAUUCUGGGCCAUCGGUCAGAGAAUUUGCCCUAGCCGAGGAAGCCGAGCGGACAGUACCCACGACACGUUUUUUCCUUGAAAUGGAGAACAAAAUCAAAUUCUGGAGAAAUCUUGGGGAUACAGAUUCUUGCUGAAUGAUGGUAAACGAUCCCUCAGUACUCUCUUGAAACCAGAGUCGGGCUCUGACUCCUGAACUUUCUCUGGUUUACACACUGCUGGCAACAUUUCAAAGGGUAAUUUUUUUUCAAAUUACCUUUUAAGGAAAAAUGAAAAAAAGUAUUUUCUUCGUCUGUCUCCCCUCUGAGCAUUAACUUUUAAAGUGUGGGUUCUUCAGGCUCACUUUUCUCUGAAGUCAUGCGGUGCUGGUUAGUUUCGAGGCAGGUGAGGAGCACCCUGUGCUGGGCCCUGGGUGGGCUCCGAUACCACCAACCCGCUCCGCGGUGGCAAGGUAACCUGUGUUAGCAAGUCCAGCUGCCAGCCACGUGGCCAGAGCCCACUGUGGGGGACACACAGGCUGCCCCUCAGGACAACAGCAGGGUGCAGGCCCUGCGCAGGCACCACUGCCCUCCACCUGGUCUCCUGCCAAGAGUUCGAGGCACUGGCUCUAGAACAUUUGGAAGAAACUGUUGUGGAGCAUGUACCUCCCGACCCCGCACCUCUGCUGCCCAGUGUCCAGGCAUCCAGAAAGCCCGUGUGGGGGUCGAAAUGUGACUGCCAUUGUAAAAUAUGCACAUUCCGUGCUUCUCAGAGAGAGGCCGGACCCCAAAUGCUGGCCACCUCUUCACAGGCCGCACGUCGCCCAUGGAAAGGGAGUGUGCCGUGCUAUGUCCGUGCUUUGCAGAAUGCCAGUCACGGUGACUCAGGACAAAGAAAGCAAGCGUCACCACGAGCGUGGCCCGUUUCCCAAGGAAGCCAUGCUGCAGAGGGGGUGGGCGCAGAGCCCACACACAGGCUGGUGUAGGGAACUGCCUCAGCAAGGACUGCAGGCAGAAGGUGACCCUGGUGACCUCAAGGUUCCCCUCCUCCUGUGCUCCUUCUUGCCCCAUCUGGCUGCAGGCACAGGGGCCCGAGGUCAGGUCCUGCCAAUGCGUGAGUAGCAGGGAAUCCCUUGUCCUCUCUCCCAUCGCAGAGCUUCAGGCUCCAAGGCCCUGGCUGUCCCAUGGCGGGACAGCUCCUAGGAGGAACCGAGAAAUCUC
rnacentral:lncRNA from 1 species